UCCCUAGUGGCUCAGACGGUAAAGAAUCUGCCUGUGAUGCAGGCAAUCCGGGUUCGAUCCCUGGGUUGGGAA
rnacentral:tRNA from 1 species